rnacentral:rRNA from 1 species
UGACGGUACCUGACAAAGAAGCCCCGGCUAACUACGUGCCAGCAGCCGCGGUAAUACGUAGGUCCCGAGCGUUGUCCGGAUUUAUUGGGCGUAAAGCGAGCGCAGGCGGUUUAAUAAGUCUGAAGUUAAAGGCAGUGGCUUAACCAUUGUUCGCUUUGGAAACUGUUAAACUUGAGUGCAGAAGGGGAGAGUGGAAUUCCAUGUGUAGCGGUGAAAUGCGUAGAUAUAUGGAGGAACACCGGUGGCGAAAGCGGCUCUCUGGUCUGUAACUGACGCUGAGGCUCGAAAGCGUGGGGAGCAAACAGGAUUAGAUACCCUGGUAGUCCACGCCGUAAACGAUGAGUGCUAGGUGUUAGGCCCUUUCCGGGGCUUAGUGCCGCAGCUAACGCAUUAAGCACUCCGCCUGGGGAGUACGACCGCAAGGUUGAAACUCAAAGGAAUUGACGGGGGCCCGCACAAGCGGUGGAGCAUGUGGUUUAAUUCGAAGCAACGCGAAGAACCUUACCAGGUCUUGACAUCCCGAUGCUAUUUCUAGAGAUAGAAAGUUUCUUCGGAACAUCGGUGACAGGUGGUGCAUGGUUGUCGUCAGCUCGUGUCGUGAGAUGUUGGGUUAAGUCCCGCAACGAGCGCAACCCUUAUCUUUAGUAGCCAGCAUCAUGGAUGGGCACUCUAGAGAGACUGCCAGGGAUAACCUGGAGGAAGGUGGGGAUGACGUCAAAUCAUCAUGCCCCUUAUGACCAGGGCUACACACGUGCUACAAUGGCGUAAACAAAGGGAGGCGAAGCCGCGAGGCAGGGCAAAUCCCAAAAAUAACGUCUCAGUUCGGAUUGUAGUCUGCAACUCGACUACAUGAAGCUGGAAUCGCUAGUAAUCGCGAAUCAGCAUGUCGCGGUGAAUACGUUCCCGGGUCUUGUACACACCGCCCGUCA